AUUUUGGACAAUGGGGGGCACCCUGAUCCAGCCAUGCCGCCUUGGUUAAGAAGGUCUUCGGCUUGUUAAGCUCUUUUACGUCGGCAGAAGAGGUGGUGGCCAAUACCUUGCAAUUUUGACCUUACCAACAGAAAAAGCCACCGCCUACUUCCUCCCAGCAGCCGCGGUAAAACGAAGGGUGCAAGCGUUAAUCGGAAUUACUGGGCGUAAAGCGCGCGUAGGUGGUUCGUUAAGUUGGAAGUGAAAGCCCCGGGCUUAACCUGGGAAUUGCUUUCAUAACUGCUGAGCUAGAGUACGGUAGAGGGUAGUGGAAUUUCCUGUGUAGCGGUGAAAUGCGUAGAUAUAGGAAGGAACACCAGUGGCGAAGGCGACCACCUGGGCUAAUACUGACACUGAGGUGCGAAAGCGUGGGGAGCAAACAGG
rnacentral:rRNA from 1 species